CAUAUACUCCCUCCGUUCCAUAUUAAGUGACUUUCUAUUACAUGUAUCUAAACGCUUUUUUAAAAAUAGAUACAUUCUUAUUUGAACAAACUUGAGUCACUUAAUAUGAGACGGAGGGAGUAUAAU
rfam:Brachypodium distachyon strain Bd21 chromosome 3, whole genome shotgun sequence.